rnacentral:rRNA from 1 species
CAAUAGCGUAUAUUAAAGUUGUUGCGGUUAAAAAGCUCGUAGUUGGAUUUCUGCUGAGGACGACCGGUCCGCCCUUCGGGUGAGUAUCUGGUUUGGCCUUGGCAUCUUCUUGGUGAACGUAUCUGCACUUGACUGUGUGGUGCGGUACCCAGGACUUUUACUUUGAGGAAAUUAGAGUGUUUCAAGCAGGCAUACGCCUUGAAUACAUUAGCAUGGAAUAAUAAGAUAGGACCUCGGUUCUAUUUUGUUGGUUUCUAGAGCUGAGGUAAUGAUUAAUAGGGAUAGUUGGGGGCAUUCGUAUUUAACUGUCAGAGGUGAAAUUUUUGGAUUUGUUAAAGACGGACUACUGCGAAAGCAUUUGCCAAGGAUGUUUUCAUUGA